UCAUUGGUUCACCCCCCAGUGGCCGCUUUCAGCUGGUGUGCUGUGGCUGGCUCACCAUGCUAAUCUGAAGUCAGGAGCCAGGUGCUUCUCCUGGUCUCCCACGUGGGUGCAGGGCCCAAGGACUUGGGCUAUCCUCCACUCUACUCCUAGGCCACAGCAGAGAGCUGGACUGGAAGAGGAGGAACCGGGACAGAAUCCAAUGCCCCAAUUGGGACUAGAACCUGGAGUGAUGGUGCCACAGGCAGAGGAUUAGCCUAUUGAGCUGUGGCGCCGGCCUACAAGUGUAUCUUUUAUUUUCCUGGCUUACUUGCUUGCAAGUCUGUAGUGUAUGAGUUUGAUCUCACUUAGAGCUAUAAUUUGUUGACUUUUUCUGUCUGUCAUUCAUCUCCUCCCUUCUCAGUUCAUUGUUACACACCUCUGCAGGCACGUGGGAUGUCUCUGCCUUGCUUUGUGUUUCUCCACCACAGCUUGACAGAGCCCCUACAAUGGAUAACCUUUAAGGAGCAGAUGAAUGACCUUGGAAGAUGAAUGAACUUGGCAGUUGCAGGGGCCCAAGGACUUGGACCAUCUUCCACUGCCUUCCCAGGCCAUAGCAGAGAGCUGGAUUGGAAGUGGAGCAGCCGGGACUCCAACCGGCGCCCAUAUGGGAUGUCGGUGCUUCGGGCCAGGGCGUUAACCCACUGUGCCACAGCACCAGCCCCAGUGAUGUUACCUUUUUCAUUCCUAUUGUUGCUUUACCAAUAAUUCUUGGAUUGCGGGACUCCUGGCUCAGCUGGAGAAGAUAAACACUGAAUCAGCAGAAUCGGAUACUGCCAGAUAUGUCACAUCAAAGAUUCUUCAUCUUGCUCAAAGUCAAGAACUGAAGAAAUCUAAUGGGCAUGACGGAUAGAAUUAAAUUCUUCACAGGUUAUUCGUUCAAUUAUUAAGUAAAAAAAUACCCUUCAAAUGCCUCAUCUGUACCUAUCAACUUCAAAAUGGAACAACUGGAAUUAGCCAGCUCUCAUCACAAAGGAAACUGAUAUAGUACUCAGGAAUGCCAAGGAGUUUGGAGACAAGAAGGAAGACAGGCAGACUUAGUGAAAGAGAGAUACAGAAAGAAAUGUCUUCCUUCUGUUGGUUCACCCCCAAAAUGGCCAUUACAACCGGCGCGCUGUGCCAGUCCAAAGCCACGAGACAUGUGCUUCCUCCAGGUCUCCCAUGCGAGUGCAGGGCCCAGCACUUGGGCUAUCCUCACUGCCUUCCCGGGCCACAGCAGAGACUGACUGAAAAAGCAGCAAGUGGGACAGAAUCUGACGCCUCAACCGGGACUAGAACCUGGAGUACCGGCACCACAGGAACACCUAGAUGAAUGCCACUCCUACAUGAAAAUUUGGAUAGCACUGUACAAAAGAUGUGUUGAAGCUGGUUUUGGUCAGGAAACAUGAAAACUGUUAAUAGCUCCUGAGACCAAGAACCCAGAACUCCUCAGAAGACAAGCGUGAAAAGUUACAUUCUUUCCUUUUGGAGUUUCUUCAGGCAGGAAAGUGUAAUCAAUAGCUCAGUGAAUUAUCCUGCGACAAUUGAAGAGUACCUAAAGCUGAGAAAGUUGGAUAAGCAAGAUCAAUUUCCCUCUCAUUGUUGUCAACAAAACCUCCCACCCACUAUGAAGCUUCCAUCACAAUCAAGAGGGGAUACUUGCUGCCACCUCCUUUUGGACACUACACUUAAUAGAUGGUCCAUGAGUGACAGACUUUCUUACUGCCUCAUCUGGUAUUUCUCUGAAUGGAAGAAUAUGAUGACUAACUGGUAAUUACAGUAUAUGCAAAAGUGAAAUGAAUGAAAGCAAUGUGAUAAAGAAUAGGAGGGAGGAAUUGGGAAGAUUUUAUCAUAAGAUAUCUAAACUACCUGUAAAAUUUUAGUUAUUCAAAAAUGGACUUAGAUGACUUGUGAGUGCAUAUUACAAUCUCUAAUGCAGGCACUGAAUUAUUUUGGAAGAAAUGUUAUUCGUAAGCUGGGAAAGGAGAAAAGAUUGAAUCAGAUGAAAUUUUUAUUUAAAAUACUAUGAGACCAAAAAAGAGGAAGAGAGCAGCACAAAACAGAAAACAAUGAACAAAUGGCAAUAGAAAAUUCAUAUGUAUUGAUAAUUAUUUUAAAUGUAAGCGGAUUAAGUUUUUCCAUAAGAAUAGAGUGGCUGAAUGAAUAAAAUAGUAAUAUCCAACUUAAUGAAUGUAAGAGACUCACUUUAGCUUUAAGGGCACUCGUAGGCUGAAAGUGAAAAGUUGUAAAAAAAAUAUUCCAUGAAACCAGUAACCAAAGGAGAACACAUGUAGUGAUAUCAGACAAAAUAGGCUUUACUGCCGGUGCCGUGGCUCA